CCGCGGCCGUGGGGCGCUGGUAGCUCUCCCGCCCCUCCGCCCUGCACCCCUCCCGCCCUAGGGCUCUUUCCUGGACUGCGGCUGCAGCCUUCUCUUCCCGGAGGGCUCAGAGUUCGUCCCCUUUUCGCGAUUGGGAACGUGGACACGCCGGAGCGUGGAUGCAGAAGGCCGCGCGGGAGCAGGGAGCUGGUGCGCAAGCCGCAGCCCAGCGUCCAGGCCGCACCACUCUCUGCUGAUCCAAAGGACUACGGAAACCCUGCGCGCCGACGGUGGCCUGGGAGUUGGCGCGGGCCCUGGCGCUAAAAAACGGAUCCCAUUUCCAGAAAGGCGGGCCGGGUAUCCCGCUCCUGCCUCCUGGAGAAUUAGCUCGGCGGAAGUCGACCAGCCGGGUAGGGAGGGAAGGAUGGAGGGACAGGCCUAGGGUCGACCAGCCGGGUAGAGAGUAGUUUCUGGGAGCUCCCUUGCCUACGGAGGGCCGGCGAGGCUGCCCUCAGAGCGCCGCCAGGUACGUGCUUUUUCCUUGUUUCCCGCGCGCCCAGAGCACACUGGGGAGGGAAGGAAUAAAAACCCAGCUGGUGUGUAGGAGAUUUUCGCACCAAACGUGUCUUUCUGAGGGGUCCUGGGACGGUAGCCGAACUCGGGGUAGCCCCCUGAGUUGUAUUCUGGAAUCCCUACUGGGCUCUCCACCACCCGCUGGACGGGGCUUGGAGCCAGUCCCUGUGGAAAUGGGCGUCGCUUUCUUCGGAGGCCCACGAAAUUCAUCCAGGACGCUGUGGGUACUACAGCAAGAUGGCUCUGUUUCGAAGUGGUUCGUUCAUACAGUUAGCCCCCAACCCGGAAACCUAGAAUUCUCGUUUUCUGAGCCGGGAUGUUUACUUUAGGGAAACCUGGGCUUGGCUUCUGCUGCGCGCCGGGUGUCUAGGAACGAAUCCCUCCUGGAUCCGGGAACCCCAGAUUUGCGGGGUUAAGGAGAUACCCUCAGAGUUGUGGUUUUUUGUUGGUGGUGGUUUGUUAUUUUUCAGCAUCAGAAGAGCCUGGUAGCUGAACUGGAGCGGGCCCCGUCCCCUCCCCCAUACCCACUUCAAACAAAAGAGCUCCUCCGAGAAUAUUUUUUAAGGGGAAAGCGCUUCUGAAUGUGGACCCGCAGUUCUCCCCGCCCCCCGUUCCUAGGAAGGACCAGGGUUUUAUACGUGUGUUUAAAACAAAGGCGAAGCUAGACGCGAGUUGCCGGAAAAGGGCCGCUUUUAUUUUAAAGUUCUUGAAGAAUUCACUUUCUUUUCUCCCAAGUUAGCUGCAGCUGAGCCAGAAGCGUCCCCACUGUCUUACCCGAUAGUGGGAUUUUACACGGUGUCGGCUAAGGGUGGCUUUGUGAGAAGACCAUUUCAGAAGAAGAAACGGGGCUCUGGCUGGUGGGGUAGAAACCCCUAUGGAAUGAAAAGUACUCCCAGUCUCUUUGAGGAAGAUUGCAAAGUAAGAAACCCCGCUGGGCUCCGGCUCUGAACAGCACCGGAGGACUGCAACGCCCACCCAGGCCCUGCUGCGGGUCUCCCGUGGCCUCAGCUCCUGUCUGGUCACCUCCCUCGGCCUCCCGGAACGCUCACAGGAGCUCGAGCCUUUGGACGUUCUAGGGGUUCCAACUUUAUGUGGGGAUCCCCGGACCGCCAGUGCCUGCCUCCCCAUCCCCCAUCCUCAUCCCUUUGUUCGCCUCUCCGGACACUGAGUUGAAGGCAGGGAAAAAAAAUAAUUAGAUGGAAAUCAAAGAUUAGACGGGGUGCGCUGGCCGCCAGGGCGAAGCCGACCCAACACUCCGCCGGCGCCUCAUAAAUCUUUUUCGCAGGCCUGACAAAAGCCACGUCCUCCAGUUCCCUGGGAAUCUAGAAACUUAUCGAUCUCCUCGACGUCCCCCAGACACCCCUCUUUGGGAUCGAGGACGGAGAGUCCUUGGUGACCCCCCACUUAUGUACAGCCCAGGACGUCCCAGCCCAAUCCCGGAGUUAAUUAAUUUUCAGAAAUGGAAGAAGGUGUCAGAGGGAGAGAUACCGACAUGGGCCCAACCCCCUCCCAGGAAGGGCAGCAAAUAUCCACAACCCGUUUGUAAAACCAAAGAAAUGUUAGGGUGCCACGUUUCCCUUGCUCCAGCUGCCUGGAAGGAUGUUUUCUGAGAAGGGUGAGGGGCAGCUUAACCCCUCCUUGGCGACUCCUUUGUCUGCUCCAGCCAUUUCUAGAACCAGCGGGGCGCCUGGGACUGGGGCGCAGAAGCCAGGCUCCCAGGCGCCGGUCCCGCAGGUGUGACACACGCACGCUGCUGUUGUGGGUCCGAGCCACGGGUGUGUGCGGUCCACGUGCGAUCUACCCGGGAUUGCACCUGAGAGCCCUCCACCGGAACAGUUGAGAACUUGCGGAGUCGUGGUGCAUUUAGAGUUUUAAAAAACUUGAAUUAAUUGGGGGAGUAGAGUGCUUCCCGACGCGAAUGGAGGUGUCUUAAAAAUUAUAUCCCAUUGUUGAACCA